rnacentral:rRNA from 1 species
CCCUUCAGGUCAGAAACUGCUAUGACUUGUUUAGCAAGCUGUUUACGUGACAGUAUAGAAUACUCAAGCUAUGCAUGCAACGCGUUGGGAGCUCUCCCAUAUGGUCGACGGGCAGGCGGCCGUGAAUUCAGUAGUGAUUGGCGCGCCGCGCCGCGCGCCCGGCCGGCCGCGCCCGCCAUGCAUGCCGUGUGUGUGAAGAAGUCCUUCGGGUUGUCAAGCACUUUAAGCAGGGAAGAAAAGCGGAUGGUUCAUAACCAUCGCCCUGACAUUACCCGCAGAAGAAGCACUGACUAACUCUGUGCCAGCAGCCGUGGUAAAAAAGAGGGUCCAAUUUUUAAUCGGAAUUACUGGGAGUAAAGCGCGAGUAGGCGGUUUGACAAGUUGGGUGUGAAAUCCCCGGGCUUAACGUGGGAACUUCAUUCAAAACUUUUAAACUGGAGUACGGGAGAGGAGAGUAGAAUUCAUGGAGUAGCGGUGAAAUGCGUAGAUAUCAUGAGGAAUCCCAAUGGCGAAGGCAACUCUCUGGACCGUAACUGACGAUGAGGUGCGAAAGCGUGGGUAGCAAACAGGAUUAGAUACCCUGGUAGUCCACGCCGUAAACGAUGACAACUAGCCGUUGGACUUUCUAGUUCAGUGGCACAGCUAACGCAUUAAGUCGACCGCCUGGUGAUUGUCGAAUUCCCGCGGCCGCCAUGGCGGCCGGGAGCAUGCGACGUCUGCGCUCUACGAAACAU